GACGAACGCUGGCGGCGUGCUUAACACAUGCAAGUCGAACGGAAAGGCCCUGCUUUUGUGGGGUGCUCGAGUGGCGAACGGGUGAGUAACACGUGAGUAACCUGCCCUUGACUUUGGGAUAACUUCAGGAAACUGGGGCUAAUACCGGAUAGGAGCUCCUGCUGCAUGGUGGGGGUUGGAAAGUUUCGGCGGUUGGGGAUGGACUCGCGGCUUAUCAGCUUGUUGGUGGGGUAGUGGCUUACCAAGGCUUUGACGGGUAGCCGGCCUGAGAGGGUGACCGGCCACAUUGGGACGGAGAUACGGCCCAGACUCCUACGGGAGGCAGCAGUGGGGAAUAGUGCACUAUGGGCGGAAGCCUGAUGCAGCAACGCCGCGUGCGGGAUGACGGCCUUCGGGUUGUAAACCGCUUUCGCCUGUGACGAAGCGUGAGUGACGGUAAUGGGUAAAGAAGCACCGGCUAACUACGUG
rnacentral:rRNA from 1 species